rnacentral:rRNA from 1 species
GACGAACGCUGGCGGCGUGCUUAACACAUGCAAGUCGAACGGAAAGGCCCUGCUUUUGUGGGGUGCUCGAGUGGCGAACGGGUGAGUAACACGUGAGUAGCCUGCCCUUGACUUUGGGAUAACUUCAGGAAACUGGGGCUAAUACCGGAUAGGAGCUCCUGCUGCAUGGUGGGGGUUGGAAAGUUUCGGCGGUUGGGGAUGGACUCGCGGCUUAUCAGCUUGUUGGUGGGGUAGUGGCUUACCAAGGCUUUGACGGGUAGCCGGCCUGAGAGGGUGACCGGCCACAUUGGGACUGAGAUACGGCCCAGACUCCUACGGGAGGCAGCAGUGGGGAAUAUUGCACAAUGGGCGGAAGCCUGAUGCAGCAACGCCGCGUGCGGGAUGACGGCCUUCGGGUUGUAAACCGCUUUCGCCUGUGACGAAGCGUGAGUGACGGUAAUGGGUAAAGAAGCACCGGCUAACUACGUGCCAGCAGCCGCGGUGAUACGUAGGGUGCGAGCGUUGUCCGGAUUUAUUGGGCGUAAAGGGCUCGUAGGUGGUUGAUCGCGUCGGAAGUGUAAUCUUGGGGCUUAACCCUGAGCGUGCUUUCGAUACGGGUUGACUUGAGGAAGGUAGGGGAGAAUGGAAUUCCUGGUGGAGCGGUGGAAUGCGCAGAUAUCAGGAGGAACACCAGUGGCGAAGGCGGUUCUCUGGGCCUUUCCUGACGCUGAGGAGCGAAAGCGUGGGGAGCGAACAGGCUUAGAUACCCUGGUAGUCCACGCUGUAAACGGUGGGUACUAGGUGUGGGGUCCAUUCCACGGGUUCCGUGCCGUAGCUAACGCUUUAAGUACCCCGCCUGGGGAGUACGGCCGCAAGGCUAAAACUCAAAGGAAUUGACGGGGCCCCGCACAAGCGGCGGAGCAUGCGGAUUAAUUCGAUGCAACGCGUAGAACCUUACCUGGGUUUGACAUGGAUCGGGAGUGCUCAGAGAUGGGUGUGCCUCUUUUGGGGUCGGUUCACAGGUGGUGCAUGGCUGUCGUCAGCUCGUGUCGUGAGAUGUUGGGUUAAGUCCCGCAACGAGCGCAACCCUUGUUCACUGUUGCCAGCACGUUAUGGUGGGGACUCAGUGGAGACCGCCGGGGUCAACUCGGAGGAAGGUGGGGAUGACGUCAAGUCAUCAUGCCCCUUAUGUCCAGGGCUUCACGCAUGCUACAAUGGCUGGUACAGAGAGUGGCGAGCCUGUGAGGGUGAGCGAAUCUCGGAAAGCCGGUCUCAGUUCGGAUUGGGGUCUGCAACUCGACCUCAUGAAGUCGGAGUCGCUAGUAAUCGCAGAUCAGCAACGCUGCGGCGAAAAAGUUCCCGGG